CCGUCUCUGCUAAAAAUACAAAAAUUAGCUGGGCGUGGUGGAAGGCACCUCUAGUCCCAGCUACUUGGAAGGCUGAGGCAGGAGAGUCGCUUGAGCCCAGGAGGCAGAGGUUACAGUGAGCCGACAUUGCGCCAUUGCACUCCAGCCUGGGGACAAGAGCGAGACUUUGUCUCAAAAAAAGAAAAGAUGAGUUUGAUAGCUUUGUCCUAAUACAUACUUAUGUCUGGAUCCAAAGGGGACAGUGUCUCUAUCUCAGGGGGUGAUGGAUGGGCCUUCCUGCAGAGUGGAUGUUUAUUGAUUACUAAAGCAUCUAUUUGAGUUAAUCACUAUCAUUUUCAUCAUAGUCUCAUUGGUGUCUGAGCAGUGUAAGAAUAUCAGCUCAUCUUUGAGCUGGAUUUCACCCUGUAUUUGUUCAUUCUCACAUUGCUAUAAAUAACUACCUGAGACUGGAUAAUUUAUAAAGAAAAGAGGUUUGGCCUGGCGUGGUGGCUCAUGCCUGUAAUCCUGAGAGGUGAAGCCAGCUGGACUUCUGGGUCGGACUUGGAGAACUUUUCUGUCUUACAAGAGGAUUGUAAAAUGCACCAGUCAGUGCUCUGUAAAGACACACCAAUCGGCACUCUGUGGCUAGCUAGAGGUUUGUAAAAUGGACCAAUCAGCACUCUGUAAAAUGGACCAAUCAGCACUCUGUAAAGUGGACCAACCAGCAAGACAUGGGCGGGGGCAAGUAAGGGAAUAAAAGCUGGCCACCCCAACCAGCAGCGGCAGCUGGCUUGGGUCCUCGUCUAAGCUGUGGACGCUUUGUUCUUUCGCUCUUCACAAUAAAUCUUGCUGCUGCUCACUCUUUGGGUCUGUGCCACCUUUAAGAGCUGUAACACUCACCGCGGAGGUCCGCGGCCCCGUUCUUGAAGUCAGUGAGACCAUGAACCCACCAGAAGGAACCAACUCCAGACACAAUCCCAGUACUUUGGGAGGUCAAGGCAGGCGGACCUGGAGGUCAGAAGAUCGAGACCAUCCUGGCCAACAUGGUGAAACCCCAUCUCUACUGAAAAUAUAAAAAUUAGCUGGAUGUGGUGGCGCAUGCCUGUAAUCCCAGCUAGUCGGGAGGCUGAGGCAGGAGAAUCCCUUAAACCAGGGAGUUGGAUGUUGCAGUGAGCUGAGAUUGCGCCACAGCUCUCUAGCCUGACGACAGAGCGAGCCUCCAUCUCAAAACAACAACAACAGCAACAACAAAAACCAAAAGAAAUGAGGUUUAAUUGACUCACAGUUCCACAGGUUGUACAAGAGGUGUGACUGGGGAGGCCUCAGGAAACUUACAAUCAUGGUGGAAGGAUGAAGGGGAAGCAAGCACGUCUUCACAUGGCAGUAGGCGGAAGAGUGAGUGAAGGGAGAAGUGCUACACACUUUCAAACAACCAGAUAUCAUGAAAACUCACGAUCACAAGAACAGCAAAAGGGAUAUCCACCCAUGAUCUAAUCAUCUCCCACCAGCUCCCUCUCCCAACGUUGGGAAUUACAGUUCAACAUGCGAUUUGGUGGGGACACAGAGCCAAACCAUAUCACACCCCAUUCAAAGCUAUGAGGUUAUAAAAUGGUCCUUCUCCUGUCACUCAGCUGACUGUAAAUUCAUGCUGGCACAUCCACACCACGGCAGACAGAAGACACUUCUUGGGAGUUCUGUUCUGUCAUCAAUGGAGCUGUGAUGACCGUGGAUGUCACUGGUAGUGGCCAACAUUUCUGCAGCUCCUUCUCAGUUACAUCCUCAACACAAACUCCUCACCAGGUGGCAGAAGUGGAAGAAGCUUAGAUGUGGCUGUGAGUCCUGACUUCACUGCUGUCCAGCGGAAAGAGUCUGAGCAGUCUAAACCCGAGGCUUCGCCAGUGUGAAAUGGGGCUAAUUAUAUAGACAUAUGGGUUUUAUAAAGUUUUGACAAAUCAGAACUUUUGUUUUAUAUGCUGGGGUGAAAUCAAGGACCUGCUGGGUCUGUUCCUGCUACUUGUGGUUGGGUGGGGGAACAGAGGAUAGAGAAGAAACUGUUCAUCUCAGGUUGGAACAUGCCAGGUCUUCAGCCAUCCAGUGGCUUGUUAAAAAAACAUUUUUAUUUAUUUAUUUUUGAGACAGAGUAUUGCUCUGUUGCCCAGGCUGGAGUGAAGUGGUGCAAUCUCGGCUCACUGCAGCCUCCGCCUCCCAGGUUCAAGAGAUUCUCAUUCCUCAACUUCCCGAGUAGCUGGGGUUACAGGCAUGUCCACCACAGCCAGCUAAUUUUUUUUUUUUUUGAAAUGGAGUCUCACUCUGUUGCCCAGGCCGGAGCGCAGUAGCGCGACCUCAGCUCACUGCAACCUCUGCCUCCUGGGUUCAAGGGAUUCUCCUGCCUCAGCCUCCCCUGUAGCUAGGACUACAGGCAUGUGCCACCAUGCCUGCUAAUUUUUGUAUUUUUAGUAGAGACAGGGUUUCACCAUGUUGGUCAGGCUGGUCUCGAACUCCUGAGCUUAGGUGAUCUGCCCACCUCGGCCUCCCAAAGUGCUGGGAUUACAGGUGUGAGCCACUGUGCCUGGCCUUUUUUUGUGUUUUUAGUAGAGAUGGAGUUUCGCCAUGUUGGCCAGGCUGGUCUCGAACCCCCGACCUCAGGUGAUCACUUCAGCCUCCCAAAGUGCUGGGAUUACAAGCAUGAGCCACCAAGCCUCGCACAUCCAGUGGCUUUUGAUGGCUGAAGUGCAAGUCGCACCGCCUCUCUGAAUUGCACCAGGCCUACAAUUCAGCAGAUUUGCCAGGCUGGGUGGAAGGAUAUGUAAAUCUGACUCAAUUCACAGCCUCUCUUAACACUUCAAUCAAAAUUGCAUCUAACUGAGGCUCAUUCAUAAACCUCAUUGACGUAAACAACUGCAAACGUGGAGGAGCCCUCCCCAAAGCUUGAUAAUUACUUCACGAUGAAAACUCAACUGUCAGAACAUCAUUGUUGCUAUGACAACUAUGAGAGAAGCUGGUUGCCCAGGGUUACCCGUGUUACCAGAUGUCACUGGUGCUUGAGUGUUAGCUUCAAAUGAGCCUCAGGAGCAUAAUGAGGAAAGGCAAUGAGAACUAUAUAAAUGGGUCUGAAUAAGAGAAUGUCUCUCUUUUUUUUUUUUUUUAAUCUUAAACCCCAAUAGAUUCAGGAAGUGUCUAUCUCAUUACAGGACAAUUGAGUUAUAUCUUGGAACCAGGGAGUCCUAAAAUGAUCUAUCCUCUAAAAGGCCUUUCUUUCUCUUUUUAAAAUUCUUUGUUAAAUUUUUAAUAAGUAAUACACAUAUGUGCUUCAAGCUUUAAAAAAUGCAAAAGGCGGCCAGGUGUAGUGGCUCCCACCUGUAAACCCAGCGCUUUGGGAGGCUGAGGCAGAAGAAUCACUUGAAGCCAGGAGUUCAAGACCAGCCUGGGCAACCUAGUGAGACCCUGUCUCUUCAAAACUAAAAAUAAAGAAAUUGCUCUCUGGUGCUUCAAGCAACAUCUCUGGAGAGUCGUGUGGUGUGAAUUGGUUUGUAUACAUUAGUAUGUGUAUGUAUUCACACAUUCAUAUACACUCAGGAUACAGUUGGCCUAAUUAUCACUGGGGCCAUAGGUAAAACUUAUGAAGAAUGUUCUCAUGCUGAAUUGUAAUUUUCUUUUACCUGUAAAGUAAAAUUUAGAUCAAUCCCAUGUCUGUGUUUAUUUUGAAUAUCAUAGAUAUGCUGUACAUUUAAAGAGGCAAUGCUACUGGGAUUAUGUAGGUUCUAAGUCAUUUUAACAAGGGCACUGUCAGGCCUCUAAGCCCAAGCUAAGCCAUCAUAACCCCUGUGACCUGCAUGUAUACAUCCAGAUGACCUGAAGCAACUGAAGAACCACAAAAGAAGCGAAAUAGGCAGUUCCUGCCUUAACUGAUGACAUUCCACCCUUGUGAUUUGUUCCUGCUCCACCCUAACUGAACAACUGACCUCGUGACAUUCCUUCUCCUGGACUGAGUCUCAGGAGCUCCCCACCAAGCACCUUGUGACCCCUGCCCCUGCCCACAAGAGAAAAACCCCCUUUAACUGUAAUUUUCCACUACCUACCCAAAUCCUAUAAAACUGCCCCACCCCAUCUCCCUUUGCUGACUCCUUUUCUGGACUCAGUCGGCCUGCACCCAGAUGAUUAAAAGGCUUUAUUGCUCA